AUGGGGAAACCCAGCAUGAGUUAUGUCAUGUUAUCGAUAUGUGAAUACAUAGCAUAUCAGAAGGCACACCCGGAGAACUGAAACAUCUUAGUACCCGGAGGAAGAGAAAGAAAAUUCGAUUCCCUUAGUAGCGGCGAGCGAAACGGGAAGAGCCCAAACCAACAAGCUUGCUUGUUGGGGUUGUAGGACACUCUAUACGGAGUUACAAAGGACGACAUUAGACGAAUCAUCUGGAAAGAUGAAUCAAAGAAGGUAAUAAUCCUGUAGUCGAAAAUGUUGUCUCUCUUGAGUGGAUCCUGAGUACGACGGAGCACGUGAAAUUCCGUCGGAAUCUGGGAGGACCAUCUCCUAAGGCUAAAUACUCUCUAGUGACCGAUAGUGAACCAGUACCGUGAGGGAAAGGUGAAAAGCACCCCGGAAGGGGAGUGAAAUAGAACCUGAAACCGUGUGCUUACAAGUAGUCAGAGCCCGUUAAUGGGUGAUGGCGUGCCUUUUGUAGAAUGAACCGGCGAGUUACGAUUUGAUGCAAGGUUAAGCAGUAAAUGUGGAGCCGUAGCGAAAGCGAGUCUGAAUAGGGCGUUUAGUAUUUGGUCGUAGACCCGAAACCAGGUGAUCUACCCUUGGUCAGGUUGAAGUUCAGGUAACACUGAAUGGAGGACCGAACCGACUUACGUUGAAAAGUGAGCGGAUGAACUGAGGGUAGCGGAGAAAUUCCAAUCGAACCUGGAGAUAGCUGGUUCUCUCCGAAAUAGCUUUAGGGCUAGCCUCAAGUGAUGAUUAUUGGAGGUAGAGCACUGUUUGGACGAGGGGCCCCUCUCGGGUUACCGAAUUCAGACAAACUCCGAAUGCCAAUUAAUUUAACUUGGGAGUCAGAACAUGGGUGAUAAGGUCCGUGUUCGAAAGGGAAACAGCCCAGACCACCAGCUAAGGUCCCAAAAUAUAUGUUAAGUGGAAAAGGAUGUGGCGUUGCCCAGACAACUAGGAUGUUGGCUUAGAAGCAGCCAUCAUUUAAAGAGUGCGUAAUAGCUCACUAGUCGAGUGACACUGCGCCGAAAAUGUACCGGGGCUAAACAUAUUACCGAAGCUGUGGAUUGUCCUUUGGACAAUGGUAGGAGAGCGUUCUAAGGGCGUUGAAGCAUGAUCGUAAGGACAUGUGGAGCGCUUAGAAGUGAGAAUGCCGGUGUGAGUAGCGAAAGACGGGUGAGAAUCCCGUCCACCGAUUGACUAAGGUUUCCAGAGGAAGGCUCGUCCGCUCUGGGUUAGUCGGGUCCUAAGCUGAGGCCGACAGGCGUAGGCGAUGGAUAACAGGUUGAUAUUCCUGUACCACCUAUAAUCGUUUUAAUCGAUGGGGGGACGCAGUAGGAUAGGCGAAGCGUGCGAUUGGAUUGCACGUCUAAGCAGUAAGGCUGAGUAUUAGGCAAAUCCGGUACUCGUUAAGGCUGA
rnacentral:rRNA from 1 species